CAUCAUUAGUGUUUCUCCAACACAUCAUUAGUGUUUCACCAAUAUACCAUUGGUGUUUGAUCAACACAUCAUUAGUGUUUCACCAAUAUACCUUUGGUGUUUGAUCAACACAUCAUUAGUGUUUCACCAACACAUCAUCUGUUUCGUCAACACAUCAUUAGUGUUACACCAACACAUAAUUAGCGUUUCGCCGACACAUUAUUAGUGUUUCGUCAACACAUCAUCUGUUUCGUCAACACACCAUUAGUGUUUCACAUCUUGUACAGUAUGUCAGACAGGUGCUCUGAUUUUGUAACGGGGUUUGUUCUGUUGUAGGAUGUUUCCUGUCUAACAGCUGACAACCCUCUCCUAGCAGGGGCCACUACCACAGUUGCCAUGGCAAUGCCUGUCUCUUCCCUCUCAACUGUUACAUCAUCAUCCAGUGGGGGUCAUUCUGUACAGACCUCAUCAAUAUCAAAUACUCCACUGACGACAGGCUCCAUACCGGUAUCCAUGGAGACGGGAUCAGUUUCUUCAUCGCCUCCUGACAAGAGCAAACUGGAUGUGACUUGAACUGAAAUGUCAUGAUAUCAUUAAAUUUUGUUUUAAUAUAAUAUAUAUGUUACAUGUAUUUAAUUGAUAAUAAAAAUGUCUUUGAACCUC